ACUCAAAGGAAUUGACGGGGACCCGCACAAGCAGCGGAGCAUGUGGUUUAAUUCGAAGCAACGCGAAAAACCUUACCAGGGCUUGACAUCCCUCUGCAGUCAGCUAGAGAUAGCCGACGUUAUCCUUCGGGGUACAGAGGUGACAGGUGGUGCAUGGUUGUCGUCAGCUCGUGUCGUGAGAUGUUGGGUUAAGUCCCGCAACGAGCGCAACCCUUAUUCUUAGUUGCCAGCAUUUAGGAUGGGCACUCUAAGGAGACUGCCGGGGAGAACUCGGAGGAAGGUGGGGAUGACGUCAAAUCAUCAUGCCCCUUAUGUCCUGGGCUACACACGUGCUACAAUGGCCUGUAACAGAGGGCAGCGAAGGCGUAAGCUGGAGCGAAUCCCAGAAAACAGGUCUCAGUUCGGAUUGUGGGCUGCAACCCGCCCACAUGAAGUCGGAGUUGCUAGUAAUCGCGAAUCAGAAUGUCGCGGUGAAUGCGUUCCCGGGUCUUGUACACACCGCCCGU
rnacentral:rRNA from 1 species